ACCGAAUUUCGUUGGUUGGUUAGUUGAAGAGGUGUUCGAAAUAAUGCCGAUGGCAGCGUCCGCAUUAAGGCAUUACACUUACAUUCAACAACUCGCUGGAUUAUAACAAAUUUCCUACGUUUUGUUCACCCUAGAUAACUUUAAUUCAAAAUGAGCCAUUUUCUUUUGCGGAAACAUUGUAUUUUGUCAAAGUUUUAAAAUUUGUAUUAUUGUGAUUUCAAUUCGUUAAAUUAUCGCAUCUGAAAGUAAGCUGACAAAAACAAAGGUGAAAAAAUCUCUUUCCGAUAUGGCAUGUCGAGCUUGACGAAGCAGAUGAGCAAAAUUGUGUACCUAGCACAAUUUAUAUUGAGGCAAUAUAUCUUUCGAAUAUGAAGAUGAAUUUGGGGGAAUACCAGACAAUGUUUGCCCAGCUCAGCAUAAAAGCGGAUGUGAAGUAAUAAUGGUUAGUGGACAACAUAUAUAAAAUUUUGAUGAAGACGAAAUUGAAGGCAUGUUGGAAAAUGAUAUUGCUUUAUACAUCACAAAAAUUAUCUUGGAUUCUUUAGCUUCAAAUAUCAAAAGUUUGCCCGUUAUGGUAGAAAAUGCAUGUAAAGUAUGGAUUUUAAUGAUCAACCAACAGCAUUCAAAUAUACAUCGUCAGACAGAAAGCGGUUACGUAGAGGAACACCAAAACCUACAAACGUUUCACGGCCACAAAGCAAUAAGCAAACAACAUUUCAAUGGAUAAAAUGCAUCAUCUCUUACUUCCAUUUUCCCAGAAGCAAAUUACGAGGAUUAUCGUUAUUUACUACCGCACCAGCAGUUUGAAAAGUAUUUCGAUGAUUUCCGAACAAAGUGUAAUAUAUUCGCUCAGGCACAAUAGACCUAACCCAAGUCUUAGUCUUACGGAAUAUAAUUACCACGCUAAUUUUAGAAAUUUAUGGAGUCGGGAUGAGGAUAUUCGAAACCACUUAGUAAGUGACACUAUAAGUCGAAAUCAUCAAUCAUUUCGAAGACAACUCUAAAGCUUCUUCAAAAAACGACGGCGCCAAUCGUGAUAAAAUGUGGAAUUUGCGACCAUUGACUGAUCAUUUAAAAGCAAAAAUUACUGAAUAUUUUCAUGCCGAACAACAUCUAUCCAUCGACGAAAGAACGAUUUCCUAUUUUGGCGGGUAAGAAUCCUCGUGCGAACGGAGAUUAAGAAGCAAGGUUUGGAAAAUGUGCUGCUAUGAUCGAUGAUAUUUAUGACUCAUUGAAAGUGUCGCCGUUUGCUUUUUAUUUCGACAACCUUUUCACUAGUUAUCCUUUGUUAGCUCUUUUGAAAACAUGUUAAUAUACUGCCACGGGAGCAAUCUGUGAAAGUCGCAUUCCUGCAAGCUGUCCUCUGAUGCAUAGAGGUUACUCGGAAUCAAUUGUUAUGAAAAGUACUGGUAUUCGUUUGGUGAAGUGGAAUGUUAAUAAUCUACAAUUUAAGGUGAAAAUCCUAAGUCAUUGGCACAAGAAAGUAAAUUCAGAAUAAACGUACACCGCUUUUGUGCGAUCACAG